AUUAAAUUUUAGGGGUAAUUUUCAGAAAUUUUUUAAUUGUUCAUUAUUAUUUUUUCGGUGACAAGAUCACCGGAGUUCCGCCGGAAUCCGGCGAGUCCACCACCCGACGAAGACCCCUCAUUUUCCUUUCACAACCAGCUUCAAAGAACACUCUCCUUUUUCCGUUUUCCCGGCGAAACAACCUUUCUCCCUCACUGUUCUACCUACCAGACCCUUCACUCACUUUUUUCGGCGAGAUCCAUCGCCGCUCCAGCGAGCUCAACAACCACCAGUCCUCAACCCCGUUUCCCUCUCCUUCACCACAGCACCGCCCGAAACCAGUAACAAACUAACCCAAAACCCGCCUGAAACCACAACCAAAACCACCCGAUCUCCGGUGAACCAGCAACCAGAAAACGACAUUUCCGGAGAAGGAGCACGAAGGUCAAACAACAGCAGCCAAACACGACCCCGUCGUGAAUCCAACACCGGCGAACUCCUGAUUUCCAGUGAGCCAUCAAACGAACCAGACCCACACCAUUGUUAUUUUUCGGCAUUUCUUGGAAAAGUCAAGUUUGAAGGAUUUAGAGCUUGAAAUCACUAAAGCACACCAGCGAAAGAACCGACAUCCUACAAGACCUAGUUAGCGUCUCGCCGGUUAUACACUGGCUUGGCUGGAAAAAAACUUCCUAAGUACCUACGACUCAUUAGUGUUGCACAAUUUUUGAUCGGCAUUCCGCAAUUCCAGUGCAGGUGUUGCUAAAGAAACAAAAGGCUGAAGCGACAAUGUGAUUGAUGUUGAACAUUCUUAGAUCGCCGUUCCACCGAUCCAAUGCAAGUUGAGGAGUAGAAUCCCAAGGUAAAAACAUACCUAGAGGCUAAAGUGCUUCUUUUGGAAGGUUUCAUGGAUAGAAUAGGAAUUUUUGUAAUUAUGUACCUUAAUCUUUUUUCUAAUUGACAAUCAUUAAGAAUUAAGAACUUUUUGAAUAACAUUGUAGUGAUUGAAAUUA